AGAGUUUGAUCCUGGCUCAGGACGAACGCUGGCGGCGUGCUUAAUACAUGCAAGUCGAACGAGGUCCAUCCGAUCUUCGGAUUGGUGAAGACCUAAUGGCGAACGGGUGCGUAACACGUGAGAAACCUGCCCCGGUCUCUGGAAUAACAGUUGGAAACGGCUGCUAAUACCGGAUGCCGUCGGACCAUCGCAUGGUGGACCGACGAAAGGGUUACCGGACCGGGAGGGUCUCGCGGCCUAUCAGCUUGUUGGUGAGGUAACGGCUCACCAAGGCAUCGACGGGUAGCUGGUCUGAGAGGAUGAUCAACCACACUGGGACUGAGACACGGCCCAGACUCCUACGGGAGGCAGCAGUAGGGAAUAUUGCACAAUGGGCGAAAGCCUGAUGCAGCAACGCCGCGUGCGGGAAGAAGGCCCUAGGGUUGUAAACCGCUUUCAGCAGGGAAGAAAAUGACGGUACCUGCAGAAGAAGGUGCGGCCAACUACGUGCCAGCAGCCGCGGUGACACGUAGGCACCAAGCGUUGUCCGGAUUUAUUGGGCGUAAAGAGCUCGUAGGCGGUUCAGUAAGUCGGGUGUGAAAACUCUGGGCUCAACCCAGAGACGCCACUCGAUACUGCUGUGACUAGAGUGCGGUAGGGGAGCGGGGAAUUCCUAGUGUAGCGGUGAAAUGCGCAGAUAUUAGGAGGAACACCAGUGGCGAAGGCGCCGCUCUGGGCCGUAACUGACGCUGAGGAGCGAAAGCGUGGGUAGCAAACAGGAUUAGAUACCCUGGUAGUCCACGCCGUAAACGUUGGGCACUAGGUGUGGGUCUCAACCAACGAGAUCCGCGCCGUCGCUAACGCAUUAAGUGCCCCGCCUGGGGAGUACGGCCGCAAGGCUAAAACUCAAAGGAAUUGACGG
rnacentral:rRNA from 1 species